rnacentral:rRNA from 1 species
UACGGAGGGGGCUAGCGUUGUUCGGAAUUACUGGGCGUAAAGCGCGCGUUAGGCGGCUUUGCAAGUUAGAGGUGAAAGCCCGGAGCUUAACUCCGGAACUGCCUUUAAAACUGCAUCGCUAGAAUCGUGAGAGGUGAGUGGAAUUCCGAGUGUAGAGGUGAAAAUUCGUAGAUAUUCGGAAGAACACCAGUGGCGAAGGCGACUCACUGGACA